UACGGAGGGUGCGAGCGUUGUCCGGAAUUACUGGGCGUAAAGAGCUCGUAGGCGGUUUGUCGCGUUGUUCGUGAAAACUCACAGCUUAACUGUGGGCGUGCGGGCGAUACGGGCAGGCUGGAGUACUGCAGGGGAGACUGGAAUUCCUGGUGUAGCGGUGGAAUGCGCAGAUAUCAGGAGGAACACCGGUGGCGAAGGCGGGUCUCUGGGCAGUAACUGACGCUGAGGAGCGAAAGCGUGGGGAGCGAACAGG
rnacentral:rRNA from 1 species